GGGAACUACCUGCCCAGCUGUUUUGGGUCUCCCAUUCAUACACUGUGUUACAUGAGAGAGCCAAUCUUGGACCUACCACUUGAAACUAUUAGUGAGCUGUUCUGGAGACUGAGAAGUCCAAGAUCGAGGCACUGCCAGAUUUGGUGGCUGGUUAUCAUCCUAAACUAAAUUUGCUGCAAUCUAAAAGGUUUCUAUGGAGACAAUUCUAAUACAAGGGAACUAAUUUGGAGCAGACCUAUGACUCUGAUGCCAAUAUGGACUGGAGAUGAUGGGAGCCAGUUGGAGAGCCCCAUGGAAAUCCCCAAAGAGCUCUGGAUGAUGGUUGAUUACCUGUACCGUAAUGCUGUCCAGCAGGAAGAUCUGUUUCAGCAACCAGGCCUGAGGUCAGAAUUUGAACAUAUCAGGGACUGCUUGGAUACUGGAAUGAUUGAUAACCUCU
rnacentral:sRNA from 1 species